GCGGCGGACGGGUGAGUAACACGUGGGCAACCUGCCCUGCAGACUGGGAUAACUUCGGGAAACCGGAGCUAAUACCGGAUAACACCGAAAACCGCAUGGUUUUCGGUUGAAAGGCGGCUUUUACCUGUCACUGCAGGAUGGGCCCGCGGCGCAUUAGCUAGUUGGUGAGGUAACGGCUCACCAAGGCGACGAUGCGUAGCCGACCUGAGAGGGUGACCGGCCACACUGGGACUGAGACACGGCCCAAACUCCUACGGGAGGCAGCAGUAGGGAAUCUUCCGCAAUGGACGAAAGUCUGACGGAGCAACGCCGCGUGAGCGAAGAAGGUCUUCGGAUCGUAAAGCUCUGUUGUCAGGGAAGAACAAGUACCGUUCGAACAGGGCGGUACCUUGACGGUACCUGACGAGGAAGCCACGGCUAACUACGUGCCAGCAGCCGCGGUAAUAC
rnacentral:rRNA from 1 species